rnacentral:rRNA from 1 species
GACGAACGCUGGCGGCGUGCUUAACACAUGCAAGUCGAACGGAAAGGCCUGCUUUCCCUUGUGGAUUGCGGGUACUCGAGUGGCGAACGGGUGAGUAACACGUGAGUGAUCUGCCCCCAACUUGGGUAUAAGCCUGGGAAACUGGGUCUAAUUCCCGAUAGGACUGCAGGGUGGUGCCUGUGGUGGAAAACGAUUUUCUAGUGGUUGGGGAUGACCUCGCGGCCUAUCAGCUUGUUGGUGGGGUAAUGGCCUACCAAGGCGGCGACGGGUAGCCGGCCUGAGAGGGUGGACGGCCACAUUGGGACUGAGAUACGGCCCAGACUCCUACGGGAGGCAGCAGUGGGGAAUAUUGCACAAUGGGCGGAAGCCCGAUGCAGCGACGCCGCGUGGGGGAUGACGGCCUUCGGGUGGUAAACUCCUUUCGACCGCGAGGAAGCCACCUGGUUGGAAGGGUGGUGACGGUAGUGGUAGAAGAAGCACCGGCUAACUACGUG